AGGAAAGGGGAAGGCAGCAGGAUUCGCGGAAGAGCCCAGCACGCAAAGGGUUAAAGAUUUUAAAAACGACGCGCGCGCUCAACCAGCGGCGCUCCCCUCCUUGGUGCGCUGCAAGGAAACGGCCGGAGCCGGGCCCGAUCCUGCACCGGUGCCAGGGGCUCAGCCCUGCACGCUCUCUCCCGGCCCCUCCGUGCAAACCAGCCGGCCAUGUGCAUGCUCCACGUGCAGUCGUAGGGCGGCGGGGGGGGGACAGCACAGUUGCUCCGCAGGUCACAGCGGCUGCACGCAGGAAUGGAGCUGGGGGAGGUGGGGUGCAGCUUGGUCGGGUGCCCGGUCCCUCAACCUCAACUGGCCAUUGUACUUCGGCAGCUCGGGCACACGCCAGCAGAACCCUGGGUCUUCAUUUCAUCCUGGAUCGGUCAAAGAGGAAGGACUUCCGUGAUGAAAUUAUGGUUGACAAUCUGGACAGGGCCAACAAGCAGGUGCAAUAUCAAAGAGGGAAGGAUUCACGGCAAGUUGAAAGAACAGGCAGGCUGCAGAGCUUGAGGACAAAAUAGCACUGCGGGAGCUGACACUUGCAUCUUGGUUCCUGAAACAGGAACGUGAGUUGAGUGAGGAAGACAGAGCGCAGUGGAAAGUCCGGUUUGAGAGGCUGCUUUCACUAAUGGCCACUAGAGUGCAGGAUCCUGCAUUGCCCGCUCCACAGUCUGAGUCCCCUCCACGGUACCAUGCGCUGCAGACCAGGAACACUUUGGAUAAUUCCAUGGUUGGUGGGUGGCCCAUGCAACCAGGACUUAACAGUAGCUGGACAGGGCAAAUCUACCCCUGCAGUCCUCCAGCCCCCAUCCAGACCCUAUUCCCCCAGCACACAUCCACCCCUAUGCUGACCCCCUCCUCCCUGCAGACUCCACCCUCCAAACAGUGGCACCCAGUGCAUGCUAAACGCACAUGAACGAGAAAGCAGAACAUGCCAGAGGACUCGCAAACUUAGGGGAUUGUUUUGAUGGCACUGGUUUCACUGUUUACACCAGGCAAUGUUUGGUUUAUGCACUUUGUUUUAUUACUGGUUUUAGUGUUGGUUUAACAUAUAAACUGUACACCAGCUACCAUUAGAACACCAAAACAGCACCCUCUCUCUCUCUGUAAUACAUCCGUAUUCACAAAUAAAGGCUUUUAUUUAAUUAA